CUAUCCUGCUGCGCGCAAGGCCUACUGCAUGGACGGCGCAGGCACAGGGCACACGAUGCUUGGCCCUGUCCAUGUGCGAUGUAUGGGACGCAUGUGCAGACUGGCCCCGCGUCUCGCAUGGACGAGACGUGUGCACAGUGUGAACAUCCUGUGCUAUCCGCGCACGCAUGCGUGCGCACAGCGGGCAUAGAUCUUUCCCG
rnacentral:lncRNA from 1 species